ACAAGCAGUACAUGCCAUUAAGGUGUACUGAGAAGAAGUGGACCAUCAUGGACACUGUUGUGCGCAGAUGAAGACCGGGGUGAGAAAUGCCCUAGGAAUGGGGGUGCCUGCCCUGGUCUCUGAAAAAUGGUUCAGAAGGCAAGAACACACAAAAGCAGUUUCAAGCAGGACAGCUCAGCCACGUGACCCAUGGUGCUGGGCCUGAUCUCUGACGACCAGUGACACCAUGAGCCUCCUGUUACCAGGCCAUCCUCGGUAGCAGCAAACUGACAGGUUGAAAGUGGCCCUACAGAGAGGCUCAUGUGGCAGGGACAGUGGGUGGCUGCUGGCCAGCAGUCUUCGAGGAAUCCAAGCCUGCCAAUGACUGCAAGGAAGCUUGGAAGAGAUCGAUCAUGCCCCAGGUUGUUUUCUUGGACAUACCAUGCCUUCCCUUCAGCUGCAGCAGAAGCUGAAACCGGGACCUGUGUGCAGGAGAUGGGAACAACGCUACUGUCCACAUGGGUUGGAGACAGACAGCAGGAAAACAGCAUGUGGGGUAUUCCAGAGACCACUGCUGACUUCUCAGAAGUGGCAGCAAGGACUGAAAGCAGCAGACAGAGGCCCAGGGAGCCUGACUGGAUGAACAGCCCUCAUUGAUCUAUUUACCUGCUCGAUGGCUGGCAAACUCUGUGAUUGAAAGGAGAAAGGGCAGGAAGCAAUUGACAGUCAAGGGAGAAGUGGAGAUGUCUGAAUUCGGUCUUGCAGAAUGUGGCGAAGUUCAUUCUGAAUGGGGAAAGCAGGAAGAACAAAUACGGGACGGGAUAAACAGUUAUGAUGCGCUUACAGAAUAGAGAGGAUGAGCGAGAUGAAGGCUGGAGAAGUGAAGCAGAAAGGCGC